CGAAAGAAAUCUCUUUGCAUCUGCCUCUUAUAGAAACGAAGGCUUAUUUGCUUGGCAGUUUCCCCACAGAUAUGAACACUGACCACAGGGUUUGGGAAGAUCGGUGGUAUGAGAGAGCCACCCUACGUGAGCCGAAACCAUCCAUAAAUAGUGGAAAGCAGGAAAAAGGACAGUGGCAGGUGGGUAUGAAGUGUAACAGAACAGAAUUUACCACCUGAAACUGCUGCUUCAAGUUCAGAUCAGGCAAAGAAAACACCACAUUGUAACAACAACAACAACAACAAGACCAAAGAAGAGUAAACUUAAGCUGAAGACACAACACUUGAUCUGAAACAAGAAGUUUGUGCCUACUCAACAGCUUCAAAAGAGCACUUCCCAACGCUGCUAGUAGUCUUUGUUUUCUUCAGUGCUGCACUGUAAGAUUGGCUGGUGCAGCAAUUGUAUUCUUUAUUAGCUUGAUAGAUCAUUUUCUCUCGCUCUCUUUCUUUUCUUUUC
rnacentral:lncRNA from 1 species